AACGAACGCUGGCGGCAGGCUUAACACAUGCAAGUCGAACGCAUCCUUCGGGGUGAGUGGCAGACGGGUGAGUAACGCGUGGGAACGUGCCCUUCAGUUCGGGAUAACCCAGGGAAACUUGGGCUAAUACCGGAUACGUGCGAGAGCAGAAAGAUUUAUCGCUGAAGGAUCGGCCCGCGUCUGAUUAGCUAGUUGGUGGGGUAAUGGCCCACCAAGGCGACGAUCAGUAGCUGGCCUGAGAGGAUGAUCAGCCUCAUUGGGACUGAGACACGGCCCAAACUCCUACGGGAGGCAGCAGUGGGGAAUAUUGGACAAUGGGCGCAAGCCUGAUCCAGCCAUGCCGCGUGAGUGAUGAAGGCCUUAGGGUUGUAAAGCUCUUUCGUCCGGGACGAUAAUGACGGUACCGGAAGAAGAAGCCCCGGCUAACUUCGUGCCAGCCGCCGCGGUAA
rnacentral:rRNA from 1 species